rnacentral:lncRNA from 1 species
ACCACUUUUCACAUGCCACUUCAUUUAAAAGAUUACCACUUUUCACAUAUUAUUUCAUCUAAAAGAUUACCACUUUUGACAUGUCACUUCAUCCAAAAGUUUAUACUUUCUGUUAUAUCACUUCAUUUAAAAGUUACCAUUUUUUAAAUGUCACUUUAUUUAAAAUUUGUCACUUUUUGUUAUGUUAUUUCAUCUAAAAUUAUUACUUUUCAUUAUAA